rnacentral:rRNA from 1 species
UACGUAGGGGGCUAGCGUUGUCCGGAAUCAUUGGGCGUAAAGAGCGUGUAGGCGGUCCGGUAAGUCCGCUGUGAAAGUCGGGGGCUCAACCCUCGAAUGCCGGUGGAUACUGUCGGGCUAGAGUGCGGAAGAGGCGAGUGGAAUUCCUGGUGUAGCGGUGAAAUGCGCAGAUAUCAGGAGGAACACCUAUUGCGAAGGCAGCUCGCUGGGACGUAACUGACGCUGAGACGCGAAAGCGUGGGGAGCAUACAGG